AGCGCGCCGCCAUGAUUCCCGGUGGCUUCUUCCCGCGAGUCCUUGCAGUUGCUUCUCGCCCGACGUCCCCGCCUUCGGGGGAGCACUGACUCGGACGCACCCGGCCGGGGGUGGUUCUCUCGGAGCCUGGGCUCGGAUGUCUCUGGAGCUCGGGUCAGGGCUGUCUGGGGCCCGGCGUCUGCUGAAGGCCCAGAGCCUCGCUCCAUCCCGGGGACCCCGGGUCGCCGAGGGCCGUGAGGACCCGGCUGCUCAGGGACCCUAAGGACGUCGUCAGGCCCAGGCCCUGUGCGCCGCCCUGGGGUGUGAGGGCCGGCAGCCAUGUGGCUGCUGAGGAGCUGGGUGGGGGCCGCAGCGGCCUCCAGGGCCAGGGUCAGGGUCCGCUGGGCCCGAAUCAACCAGGCCGGCCGCAGAGGGAUCGGGCUCUUCCGCCCGCCCCCACGCCGCCCCAGCCUGUGCGGGGAGCCGGCGGCCCGGGUUUGGAGGCAGAGAGGCCACGAAGGCCUGAGCUCCUGUCGUCUCCUCACGCGGAAGGUCCAGAGCCCACUCCGACCAGCAUUCCCCGUGGAAGUGGCGGCCUCUCUGGGUGGGGGUCCCUGAGCUGGUCCCCACAGUCUCUCACCGGCCCUGGGAGCGGGGCGUUUCUCUUCUGUCCUUGCCCCCUGCCUGACAGGCACUUUGGUUUUCAUCCUCCCUUGGAAAUGCUCCCUCUGGAACCCGCCUGCCCCUGGCCCUGUGCUCAGCCCGGGGGUGCCGGCCUGGAGCCAAGGUGGAGCCGGGGUGGGCUCCGGAGGACGGACCGCAGAGGUGGGCUGGGAGGCGCUGGCGAGCACGCAGCUCCUUCAGGCUCGUCCCAGCCUCACGUCCGGAGUCACCGCAGCAGAAUAGAGUCACAGCCUGGGUGUGCGCUCCCUGGACCUUCCCGCGUGAGGAGGCAACAGGAGCCCAUGUUCAUCAUUUUGAAGAAUCACAGAUUUUGAGUCAUGCCAGGGGCUCCGGUGAAAAUGUCAUGGGAAGCCAGCCCUCCGCGUCUAACAUUUCAGCUUGAGGGUGACCGGGAGCUCUGGGGUGGCCCUAGACCUGGGAAUGGGCUCCCAGGCGCAGUGGCAGGCAUUUCUCUUGCUUUUUCUUUAUGAUUGACCUGGGCUGGCCAUGUCCCCGUCAAUGCAGCUGGUUCUCAAAGGCCCCACUCUUCCCCACGGCUCCGUUUACCACCAACCCGCUUGUCCCGUCGCACGUAGAGGCGGACCUGCUCCUCCUGAGAAUCCAGGAAGGAACUGAAGAGACGACGUUGCUUUCUGAUCUUUCUCAGGCCAGAGGAAGUUUGUGGAGCCAAGUGAUAUUCCUAAUUCGAACUUUAUUAUGUAAUUAUAGUACAAAACAUAUUAUUUUUCUCUUUAUUUUCCUCUCUCAGUUAAUGGUAAAUUUUAUUGCAUAAAUAAAUUACACAUGCUGUAAUUCAUGCCUCGCAGCCUACACACCAAUUAAAUCCGAAGCUGACACAGUCCACACACAAUUACAUGGAAUCUGCAAAGUGAAAGGAUCAUGUAUUUGCACUGCGGUAACAGGCAGAGCCAUUUAGCGACGUGACGGCUGUAAGUGGAGGGCAAGCGGAGUCUGUGCUCGGGGGUGAUUGAUGGGCCCCGCGAGAGGC